GAGGAUAAGCGGAGAGCAUCGCUAGGCAAAGGGAUGAUAUUUCAUCAAGAAUGUGUGUUUUCUCCCAGUGAAACAUGGGGGAAAGCUAAGUUUUUUGGGUGUCAGCACUGCUCCUAUUGAUCCGGUAUCAUAACUCAGCCCCGAGCCAACACCUCCCCUUUAUUCCGGCUCAAGCCUACUUUUAGCAGAGGAUAAAAGGCAAGUACAGAGGGUUAGCACUGCUAAUUAGAAAGGGUCAGAGAGGAGGAUCCAAGGGGAUGAAAACCAGGCGAGGAGAGUGAGUUCCCUCAAAACUGGCGUCUCUGCACCCAUUGGAACAAACCAUCCAUCAGCAAUGCAGCUCCUUGGGAAGCACAGCGUUGAUUGGCGAUGCCCAGCUCUUGAACUGAGGUGGAGCUGGAGAGUUGAUUUUUCCCCAAACCUGGUUUAUCUCCUUGGACUGUUGGUUAGAGCAAAGCCUCAGGAGGAGCAAGGCCAUACACCUGCCAGCUACCCAAGAGCGAUCCCAAGAAGCUUGGAGAGUACUGAUAGAGGAGAACUCCAUCUCUCCAGAAACCUCACCACUUCCAAAUGUAUUAAUGGAAAAAAUAAUGAGAAUUAGUGAAAAAUGAAAAAAAAAAAAAUAAAAUAAGGCUCUUUCCUAGUUAUUUAACAUAGGAAGGAAAAUCUCCAGAAAUCACCACGUCAUUCCUCACCACGUCCACCACAUUUGGUCAUCUCAGCACUGAUACACACAGAGGGUCCCAGAGCUCCUUCCAGACAGACCCUCACCUUGGGCACAGGACCAGAAGUGAAUUCAGCACCUUGCAGGUCUGGGGGAUGAGCUCGGCAGGGACAUGACUCUUAAAAGUGGAGCCAGAGAGAUGGGGACUUGUACGUGUUGAGCGGCGGUGGCUCAGAAGAGGCCAUCACAUAGCUGUGUGCUCGGGGAAAAGGGCUGAGCUCAAAACAUUCUAAUGACAUUUAAGCUUUUGUCUCCUUCUCAGCAUCCACGUUUGUCCAGUUCUACCUUGGAUCUGCACCUCUGACUCGAGAGCUGAAUUAUGUGUGGUGCAAACAAGUCCUGCCUUUGUUUUAAGACUUCUUUCACCUGAUGUCUUCUGUUUCUCACAUUGUAAGGAAGAAUAAUUGCUCCUUGCUUGCCCUUCCCUGCUGCUCAGGUUUUUAUAGACCUCUGCCACAGCUCCCAUCUGUCAUCCCUCUCCUAUGCUGAUAAGCACCAGGUUAUUUAACUUUCCUCACACAAAGCUGUUUCCACCCCUCUGGUCUCCUUUGACACCCCUCUAAAUUGUCACCUAGGGAGAUCUGAUGUCUCAAUGCAGCAGCUUGGAGCCACCAGACACGCACAAGAAAUACACAAACAAUGCCCCACGUCUGGCUGAAACCUCUGGAAGUGAAAAUCUGAUUAGUCCCACUUUUAACCAUCUCACACCUACCCAGACCAGUCUUCCAGGCAGUGAUCUGGAAGCCUGACUUCUUAAAAUGGCACGUCUUGAAUCACCAAGCCACUCUUAACUGCUCUCCGUGAUGAGUUCUGCUCAGCUGUCAUGCUCUCCUGUCUUCUGCUUCCCAGAAACCAUGAAAAAGUCAGAGAAAAACAUAUACAUAAUAAAUUCAUGAUGGAUUUCCAAG
ensembl:lncRNA